rnacentral:rRNA from 1 species
CCUACGGGAGGCAGCAGUGGGGAAUAUUGGACAAUGGGCGAAAGCCUGAUCCAGCCAUGCCGCGUGUGUGAAGAAGGUCUUCGGAUUGUAAAGCACUUUAAGUUGGGAGGAAGGGCAGUUACCUAAUACGUGAUUGUUUUGACGUUACCGACAGAAUAAGCACCGGCUAACUCGUGUGCCAGCAGCCGCGGUAAU